CCACACCAUUACAGCCUACCCACACCACCCACCUCCUCCCAGUCUCUCUCCUCAGCCUAUGAAGUAUUGUCUUCACAACCCCAGAGUCAUCCUCUCAGCCUCCACAAGAGCUGGUGAUUAAUUGAAGCCAGCUGCUUGGCUCUCUCCCUUUCUUCCCACACCACUUUGCAUUCCUAUUAAAGCACACACACUGCCCCAGCAGUGUAUUUGGCUUUCUAGAGUGUGUAGCAGUGAUGCUGCUGCAGAAACAGGGCCAACUUUCACACUAACCCUUUUCUUUGUGAGCUGUAGCUGUUUGGGUAUCAGAAAUUCACAAUGGCAAACUCAGUCUGCAAUGUCAUUGGCCUCAGAAGGUGGUAAUUAAAGCAGCUUCCCCCCACCAAGUCAGUAUUACAUCAAGAGGCUGACAGUUUCCCGGAGAAAACAGCUGUGCUCACACUAAUGAGCCUCAAGAUCAGCAAAAUGCGAUGCAUGUGCGCGGUUGUAGCUGCAGCUCUGGCAUGUGAGACCCAAAGAUAUUUUGAUAAUUCUUAAUGGUAUUUCUUAGAGGUUUCUGGUUUUUUUCUACCGUUAUGAUGCCAACUUGUAAAAGUCUGCUCAUCACACUGUGAAGUUUUUCCUUUUUAUUACUUACUGUGAACUGUUGCUAAUUCAAUUAGGUAAUAGUGACAUAUGGAAUGGGAUCUUUCAGGAGAGGGCAAACUAACCAGGGAUUAAUUAAUUUUUGCAAGGCUGGAGCAGGAGUUUGAGAAAUGGUUUCAUUCCCUUCAUGUGGCAUAUUCACAUUCUCACAAAUGACUUUGCAAAUAACUGGCAUUCUUUAAUAGGGAGGAUGGAGGCUGGGUAAAUUAAAGCAGAAUUGUCAAGUA